UUAAAUUGAAGAGUUUGAUCAUGGCUCAGAUUGAACGCUGGCGGCAGGCCUAACACAUGCAAGUCGAACGGUAACAGGAAGCAGCUUGCUGCUUCGCUGACGAGUGGCGGACGGGUGAGUAAUGUCUGGGAAACUGCCUGAUGGAGGGGGAUAACUACUGGAAACGGUAGCUAAUACCGCAUAACGUCGCAAGACCAAAGAGGGGGACCUUCGGGCCUCUUACCAUCGGNUGUGCCCAGAUGGGAUUAGCUAGUAGAUGGGGUAACGGCUCA
rnacentral:rRNA from 1 species